rnacentral:ncRNA from 1 species
GCCUCCCAAAAGGUAACCGAGGCAAAGGUUCCUCAGGCCAGAUGGAGAUUUGCCAUAGAGUGCAAAUGCAAAAGGGAGCUUGGCUGCAAGACCCACCCGUCGAGCAGGGAUGUAAGUCGGCCUUAGUGAUUCGAAGGUGUCCGUCGCUGAAA